rnacentral:rRNA from 1 species
AGAGUUUGAUCCUGGCUCAGAAUGAACGCUGGCGGCACGCCUAACACAUGCAAGUCGAACGGAACUGUUGGAGUUUACUUCUUCAGUUUAGUGGCGGACGGGUGAGUAACGCGUGGGGAUUUACCUUUCGGUGGGGGAUAACCUUUGGAAACAGAGGCCAAUACCGCAUACGCUCUAAGGAGGAAAGAUUUAUUGCCGAAAGAUAACCCCGCGUUGGAUUAGCUAGUUGGUGAGGUAACGGCUCACCAAGGCGAUGAUCCAUAGCUGGUUUGAGAGGAUGAUCAGCCACACUGGGACUGAGACACGGCCCAGACUCCUACGGGAGGCAGCAGUGGGGAAUAUUGGACAAUGGGGAAACCCUGAUCCAGCGAUGCCGCGUGUAUGAAGAAGGCCUUCGGGUUGUAAAGUACUUUCAGUGGUGAUGAUAAUGACAGUAGCCAAAUAAGAAGCACCGACUAACUCUGUGCCAGCAGCCGCGGUAAUAAGGGCGA